CCGAGUUUACAACUCCCAAACCCCCAUGUGAACUUAUACCUUUACACCGUUGCUUCGGCGGGUCUUCGCCCCGGGCUGCCGGGCCUCUCAGCAGGUCCCGGCCCCGGAACCAGGCGCCCGCCGAGGGACCCAAACUCUUGUAUUCCUACACCUUUUGGCAUGUCUGAGUGGAAUCAUUACACAAUGAAUCA
rnacentral:misc_RNA from 1 species